UACGGAGGGAGCUAGCGUUGUUCGGAAUUACUGGGCGUAAAGCGCACGUAGGCGGCCAUUCAAGUCAGAGGUGAAAGCCCAGGGCUCAACCUUGGAACUGCCUUUGAAACUAGAUGGCUAGAAUCCUGGAGAGGCGAGUGGAAUUCCGAGUGUAGAGGUGAAAUUCGUAGAUAUUCGGAAGAACACCAGUGGCGAAGGCGACUCGCUGGACAGGUAUUGACGCUGAGGUGCGAAAGCGUGGGGAGCAAACAGGAUUAGAAACCCGUGUAGUCC
rnacentral:rRNA from 1 species